rnacentral:rRNA from 1 species
AGAACGAACGCUGGCGGCAUGCCUAAUACAUGCAAGUCGAACGAAGGCUUCGGCCUUAGUGGCGCACGGGUGCGUAACGCGUGGGAAUCUGCCCCUUGGUUCGGAAUAACAGUUGGAAACGACUGCUAAUACCGGAUGAUGACGAAAGUCCAAAGAUUUAUCGCCAAGGGAUGAGCCCGCGUAGGAUUAGCUAGUUGGUGAGGUAAAGGCUCACCAAGGCGACGAUCCUUAGCUGGUCUGAGAGGAUGAUCAGCCACACUGGGACUGAGACACGGCCCAGACUCCUACGGGAGGCAGCAGUAGGGAAUAUUGGACAAUGGGCGAAAGCCUGAUCCAGCAAUGCCGCGUGAGUGAUGAAGGCCUUAGGUUGUAAAGCUCUUUUACCCGAGAUGAUAAUGACAGUAUCGGAGAAUAAGCCCGGCUAACUCCGUGCUAGCAGCCGC